rnacentral:piRNA from 1 species
UGGGAUAUGGGGACCCUGACCCUAAGCUUC